rnacentral:rRNA from 1 species
UACGUAGGCCCCAAGCGUUAUCCGGAAUUACUGGGCGUAAAGUGCGCGUAGGCGUUUUUGUAAGUCGGUCGUUAAAUCUCACAGCUUAACUGUGAGACCGCGAGCGAUACUACAAGAAUUGAGUUUUGCAGGGGCUAGCAGAAUUUCUGGAGUAGGGGUGAAAUCCGUUGAUACCAGAAGGAAUACCAAUGGCGAAGGCAGCUAGCUAGGCAAUAACUGACGCUGAGAGCGCGAAAGCGUGGGGAGCAAACGGG